GUUAAGUAAGGGCGUAUGGCGGAUGCCUAGGCUCUCAGAGGCGAAGAAGGACGUGACUAGCUGCGAAAAGCUGCGGGGAGGUGCUAAUAACUUAUCAUCCGCAGAUGUCCGAAUGGGGAAACCCAAUACGUUGAAGACGUAUUACCCGCAAGGGGGCUAACCCGGAGAACUGAAACAUCUAAGUACCCGGAGGAAGAGAAAACAAGAGUGAUUCCCCAAGUAGUGGCGAGCGAACGGGGAACAGCCCAAACCAGAGAGGUUACGGCCUUUCUGGGGUUGUAGGACCUGCAUCAAGCGAUAGACACAGAAUUGGAAGACCGAUGGAAAGCGGCACCGAAGAGGGUGAUAGUCCUGUACGAGGUUGUGUUUAUUGUGGGCGGGUAUCCUGAGUAGCACGGGGCCGGUGAAACCCCGUGUGAAUCUGGCGGCACCAUCCGCUAAGGCUAAAUACGAGUGCGUGACCGAUAGUGAACCAGUACCGUGAGGGAAAGGUGAAAAGCAGCCCGAACAGGGCAGUGAAAUAGUACCUGAAACCGCUUACUUACAAGCAGUGGGAGCCCCUUCGUGGGGUGACCGCGUGCCUUUUGCAUAAUGAGCCUACGAGUUGCUCGUAUCUAGCAAGGUUAAAUUUUAUUGGAGCCGAAACGAAAGUGAGUCUUAACAGGGCGCUUAGUUAGAUGCGGCAGACGCGAAACUUGGUGAUCUACCCAUGACCAGGUUGAAGCUACGCUAAUCCGUAGUGGAGGACCGAACCAGUUGACGUUGAAAAG
rnacentral:rRNA from 14 species